rnacentral:lncRNA from 1 species
CCGCCUUUAAUUGUUAAUUGCAUGCUAUAUGAUGUUGCUCAAAUGAACAUGUUUUUCAAAAUAAAUCCUUCAGGGGGUACGGCUAGGGAUGAUUUUUGGGCAGAAUUUUGGGACUUUGGUGAUGGGAAGGUGCGGCAGAAUGCAAGGACAGAUUUCUGGCGUGAAUGAUUGUGUAUGAGAGGUGGUGAUCUGAUCUAGGGGUUAUAAUGAGUAUAUAUAGGCAUC